rfam:Frankia sp. ETN1h contig_28, whole genome shotgun sequence.
GCGCAUGGCCGCUACUGGCGCGGGUGGAUGACCACCGGGGAACGGCCGGAAGACCGUCGACGCCGACCGCCUGGGCCCGCGAC